GAUCAUGGCUCAGGACGAACGCUGGCGGCGCGCCUAACACAUGCAAGUCGAACGAGCGAGAGAGAGCUUGCUUUCUCAAGCGAGUGGCGAACGGGUGAGUAACGCGUGAGGAACCUGCCUCAAAGAGGGGGACAACAGUUGGAAACGACUGCUAAUACCGCAUAAGCCCACGACCCGGCAUCGGGUAGAGGGAAAAGGAGCAAUCCGCUUUGUAGAUGGCCGUCCGCGUCCGACUUAGUCUAGG
rnacentral:rRNA from 1 species